AUGCAGGAUAAGUUACAGAUCAGCUGAUGCCGUGCUGGUUUGUCGUUCCCCCUGCACAAAUCGAUUUGUUUCCUACUAUCCCUGUUUGUUUGCUACCCACAGCUGACAGGGACGCUUGGUCUCAGACAA